rnacentral:lncRNA from 1 species
ACCAUCAAAGUCAAAAGUAUUUUUGGAAUACUAAGAAGGUAAGGCAAUUUUUUUUUAAAAAAAUAACAAAUAGAGAAAAUGGCUGUAAGUUUUUUUUUGUAAUAACAUAAAUAAAAAGAACAAUUUUAUAUAAGGCUGAGGCCCUAAAAUUUAAAAUUAAGGCGCACAUCAAAAAUUCGCUAGAAGAAGUUGUUUCCAUGUCCAAAAAUCCUCAAAUUUGUUCAUCUCGACCUUAAGCAAUAUGAACAUGAGAAGAAAUAGAUUUCAUUUUUGGAAAAUAAUGCAUCUUGCAAUGCAUUUUUCUUAAACGUCAAUUUUGAAGUUUAUCAAAUGUUCAUAGAUCGGCUGAAUCUACAUACCUUAGCCUUAUAAAAACCACCCCCUAUACAUAAUUUUCUAGAUUUUUAUGCGUUUAAUAUACUUGAUUUGAACUAUUUUUGGAAUUCAAAAUUUUAUUAUCAGAAAUAAAAUAGAUUCUCUGGUGAUCCUAAAAAUUUUGGACACCAAAUUACAUCUUAUGACGAUGCUUGGAGGUGCGUCUUGUAAUUCUUUAAGGCGACAACCAGUGUUGUUGUGUUCGCUUCCUCGGCUAAAGCUUCGAUUUUUCCCUUGUAUUUUGCAGAGAGAAAGAGAUACUGGCAUUUCAGAGAGAAUACACCCACUUGGAUUGAGAUUCAAGCAAUCUAGACCAAACACUGUAAAUUUUAUUGCAAUGUCACUGUAAGCUUUCCAUCUUCUUCCACUGAAAAAACCCAAAUCAAGAAACCUGAAAUCCUUUGUUUUAACACAGAAACCAGAACCCAAUUUUGUUACACAAAGAAAAAACACCCAAUUAGCUUUAGAUCCAAUAAAACCACUAAAAAAACAAACCAUUAAAACCACCCAACUCUUUUAAAUCAAGCAACCAUGAACAAAACCUGUGUUAUUCUUUUAAAACUGGUCAUGGGUCUUCUUUGUUGUGCCCUCUUCGUUGUGGAUAGGCAGAAGGUGGGGCCUGAAUCCAGCAAAGAAAAAGGCUAGGGCAAGUUUCAAUUAAUAAACAGUUUUGUGUAUUGGUUUAUGGAGAGAGAGGAUCCUGCUUUUGGGCAAGGCCAUUUGGGGUAACGUGGGAAAAAGGAAGUGGAGGCAUUAUUGGUAUUAGGUAUUAGGUGCUUCAUAUUGUAUUCAUACUAUCGUGGUUGAGGUUCGUAAUAAAUUUAUUUAUUAUUAAUUUUGUGCUUUUAAAUUUUUGUAGAAUUAUAAAAAAAUAUUUGUAUUUAUUUAAAAAAAAAAUAAAAAAAUAGAAGUCUUCCCCCUCAUUUGUCAUGCCGUUAUUUUUAAACUCGCUCUCUCCCUUUGCUCAUCAUAUACCUCUUCUAAGAGAGAGAGAGAGAGAGAGAGAGAGAGAGGAAGAGAG